rnacentral:lncRNA from 1 species
ACAUUUAAUAGCACCUUUUAUGCAAUUGUACUUUAAGAAGGCAGGGGCCCGGGAUGUAGCUCAGUGGUAGAGCACUUGCCAAGCAUGCCUGAGGCCCUGGGUUUCAUUCCCAUUACUGCAAAAAUACAAAAAAAAAUCUUGGCAGAAGAAAAAUUAUAGAUUUAGAUCUGGCCAAUUAACCUUUCCCCCCCCCCUCUUUUGCAAUUUUGAUAGCAUAGAUAGAUGUGAUGAUUAGAUUCAAGGACACAAGAUAAACAACAUGAAUAAUAAAUUCUGCUAAUCUCAUCUUAAUUGGCUAUAAUCUAUGGGUACUACUUUGAAAAUGGAAAUAAACUCUUCUUAAAAGUGAACCUUUUAGAUCAGUCCUUGUUAGCUGUAAUUUAUAACUACUUUGCCCCCAAAUUGAUUUUAGUCCAGUAAAUUUAUUACUUUUGAAAACUAACAAUUUAUUUCCAUUUUUUAAAUUGAAGGUUAGUUUUAAAUUUUUCUUUUUGUCGAAAUUGCGCUGGUUAAAGAGUCAAACAGUUCUAUAAGAUUUGUUUAAAAGGUAGCACUUUCAUCCCUGUCCUUUCUAUUUUGAAAUGACUAUUUUCACCUCUUCAGGCUUUCAGUCCUGCCUUUAUCCCUCCCUAUUAGCAGACAUACAAAUGGCUUUCUCCUUAGGCUUAAUAUUUAGCUGUCUUGAUCUGCUAAAUUAGUUCCCUUUCCCUUCUGAUUUCUUUGCUCUUUAUUCAUUUUCUUUGUGGUUUUAAACCAUAUUUUGAUACUUACACCUGUAAUACUAGCGGCUCAGGAGGCUGACACAGGAGGAUCCCAAAUUCUCAGCCCGCCAUAGCAAGUUAGUGAGAUCCUGUCUCAAAAAAAGGCUGGGAUGUGGCUCUGUGAGUGGUUAAGUGUCCCUGGGUUCAAUACCUGGUAACAAAAAAAUAAAACUUAAAGCCUACACUUUGUUUUCUCUAAGCAUAUUCAACAUAUUUGUCAUUGAUGAUUCCAGUAUGUUAAAAGUGAUCAAAGGUCCAAUUUUGUUUAGGUUUGCUUUGCUUUGGUUUUGCUUUGGUUUGCUUUUGCUUCCCCUUCCCCUCCCCUUUCCUUUUCCCUCCCUCCCUUCCUCCCUUCCUUCCUUCCCAUCUCUCUCCCCCUCCCUCCCUCCUUCCCACAUUUAUUCAGGGUGAUUCAGGGUGUUUUCUGGUUAUUGUUUGUAAAUUUGUGUGUGUGUGUUGGAAUUGAAUCUGGUGUGUGUGUGUGUGUGUGACGGGAUUGAAUCUGGGGCCACCCUACCACUGAACUACAUUCCCUGCCUUUUUUAUUUUUCAAUUGGAGACAGGGUCUUGAUAAAUUGCCGAAGCUGGUCUUGAAUUUGUGAUCCUCUUGCCUUAGCCUCUGGAGUUGCCGGGAUUGUGGGCCCAGCAGUGCACCCAGCGUGAGCUCAUUUUAUUAGGAACUUAUCUUUAGAAAUUCUUUGCAUUAGAUGAUAUGUUCCUCCACAGAGAAUUUGUAUGUUUGUUUCAGGAACCUGAAAGCACUACCAACCCAGGACCAUGUUAAAAU